rnacentral:misc_RNA from 1 species
UUGGCGCCAUAUAACCUAUACUGUGUUAGUGCACCGUAAAACCCAAAUAAAUAAAUAAAUAAAUAAAUAAAUAACAUAGUUUAAUGAAUUGGCCUCAAUACAAAUCCAGUCAGUUCAAAGUAUGUGCAUAUAAAAAUUCCUCUUUAGACUGUGAAUGGUGUUACACAACACUAUCUUUCCCGAAGAGAAUCAUUGAAACCGAGUCUACUAUAAUUAUUUACUGCGGUUGCGUUAUUAGCUGUCAAAGGAUCUUCUUAGAAUAUUUUAAUAAUACGAUCACAAGUAAAACUAUUUGACCCUAAUUAUUUGAUUAAUUGUCAUUUUACGCUGAUUCAUAAUAACAUCUAUAUUUACAAAUUACUUAAAAUCAGAUGACUGCUGUAUAAGUGGUCAUUAUUGAUAUAUUAAUAUUAGUUGAUUUCAUAUUGUAGAUAUAUGACGAUGACAGUCAGAUUUUCUGCUUUAGUUUUCUUCAUUUUUAUAUUCGUUAUUUAUUUAACCAAUGGCAAAAAUAUUGCAACCGAUUCAGGAUAUAAAGACAUGUCCAAAUAUGAACUGUUGCACUAGUUUACUCAAUAAAACGAGUUAUGACGCAAGCAUACCCCCAGACUACUUUUCUGGUAGAGCAACAGAUGUGCACGUUCAAAUUGCUAUUUAUGACAUAAUUUCCGAAAAUGAGCAGAAUAUGGAAUUUUCCUGCCUAAUGUAUAUCAGAAUGAACUGGACAGAUCACCGUUUAAAUUACUCAGAAAUUGCAAGAUAUGACGUCCUCAAAGUCAGUGGCUCAUACAUAAACAAGAUCUGGAUACCUGAUAUUUAUUUUUAUCAGGAUCACAAAACAAUUUUUCCUGGAUUCAUUGGCAAGAAUGAAUUAAUUUACAUUGGAAGAAAUGGAAACAUUAGAUUUAGCGGCAGAAUAUCCACGAUUUUGAUAUGUAGAAUGGAUCUCACACUGUACCCAUAUGAUGUACAGCAUUGUCAGAUGACGCUUCAAAGUUAUGCAUAUACAGAAGAUGAUGUUCAACUUCACUGGAAAGAAGACAACCCAGUGAUAGUAAAUGGUGACGAAAUUAAGGACUAUCCAAAGUGGAGAAACAGUUCGUUUGGUUCGCAAUGUGACGAGCCAGUUGGAAACUUUUCAAUCUUAAAUACGGGGAUUCAGAUUAAACGAACUUCCCAUUCGUUUAGUCAGUUUAUUUCUACACCUGUCGUGCUGGUUUCGAUUGCUAUGACUUCAUUUUCUUUUGGUGAUAACUUCACACCAAGGGUGACCUUGUCUGGAGCCUCUAUGACUACCAUAAUAAUGCACUGGGCAGGGAUAUAUAAUAAAAUCCAACCAGCUUCGGCUUUAGUAUGGCUCGAUAAAUGGAUGCUGAUCAAUCUGUGCUUUGUUGGAGGAAUUAUACUCUUUACUGCUAUCAUCUACCAUGUGAAGCAUCCAAAAGAAAUUGCAGCGUUCAAGCAUCUGAUGGAGGAGUCUAUCACAGUGCAACUGGAACGUUGUAGAAAGAGAUGGCCAGAAUGGAAUGAAGUAAAAACAUGGAAGCUAGACAAGAAAAACAAACAGAUAACAUCUACUGUUGAUAAGGAAACAACACUGGACGACAGCCUAGCUAUCAGAACUGAGAAAGACCUCAGAUGGACAGUUGAUCGAAGAUUUUAUGCAGUUAAAAACGAUGAACUAAGAGAAAAAUAUUACAGAGAAUUUGUGGAAAACAUGGGGUGUCAACUGAAAAUUUACUGACGGAAUAGCGAACAGUGUAGACCAUGAACAGUGUGCAAAUGCUGAAUCACUUCCCGCCAGCACGCUAAAGGAGAAAGACCGAAGCCGUCUUAAUUUGAAACUCUUCAAUAUCUGUAGACACUAUUCUAGACGAUUUAUUCUAGAUGUACUAGUCUUCCGUCGUUUUUGUUUUAAGUUACGUUUGCUUUGCAGCUAUAUAUGUUAACCUCUGGCAAAAUAAACACUUCAACUCGA